ensembl:lncRNA
AGUGCUAUUAUUUGACCUGUUUGCUAUUCUUUUACAUACAGUAAGUGCUUCUUUAUUUGGCACUUUAUUAUGCAGUGCAAUGCAAAUUUCAGCAGAUGUUAACCAGCCAGCAUGAUGAAGUCCCAGAAGGCCACAGGCAGUGCUUGUGGCUGAAUGGAAGCUAAAUGGAUGAGUUCACACAUACCUGCAUAUGACUAUGCUUAAGUGAUUACAUCAGAUGGAAGGCAGAUUUGCACAGGAAGUUGAGGAUAAGUAUCACAGGUUUCCAUUUUCCAUAAAAAUAAAGUUUGUAUGACUAUACUGUAUGUUUUCAUUAGAAAUCUCAUUGGACGGUCAACAAUUUGCAUUCGUUUUGUAAGAAGUUUUACAGUUUAUCUUUCUAUAUUUAUUCUAUACAAAUAUGUGAUUCAAAAUCUAUGUUUUCAAAUAUAUUUACAUAAUGCUUUACUCAAAUUAUGUUAAUGAUGUAAUAUGUUAUGAAAACUGUCUCAAAUAAGAAAAUUAAUGCAUUGUUUUGCUGUUUUAAACUGCCCUUGUAGUUGAACAGCAGAUGUGGACCUUUAGAUUAUUAAUUAGCUGUCAUGUUUUGAGACAAACUAGUGAAGAGAGAUAGACACAUGAUGGUUAGAUGAUGGGGGAAGUGGAGCAGAUGGAGAGUCACUGAUGGAGGACAUCAAGAUGGCAAACAGGAAAUAGCUAAAUGUAGUAUCUCAUGGGUAUAUAUUAUACUUAAGUUUGUCAUCAUCAAGUCUAAUGAUUAAAAUCUGUGCUGGCAACUUAAAACGUCAAAAUUGUUAUAUUUAACCUUAAUAAUAAUUCAAUCUGUUGUACUCUCAGUGAGCAAGUGUUGUCACUGUCAAUAAGAGUAUGCUUGCAAUGAGUUGGUCGAGCAUUUGUGAGUAUUUUUCUGUCACUUUGGAUAAAAUUAGAAGGUUAAAUGCAUUAAUGAUCUUAGGGAGAAAAAUAACCCAUGAAGCUCCAGCAACAAAUAAGCCGAAGCAUCAAGAAAUAGUAAAAGCAACUGAAUUGCCAAAGCUAGCAGGCACUUUGGCAGCAAACAUCUCGCAGCGACAACGUCCAUGUGUUUGUGUGUUGAUUCCAUUUGUAACUGCAAAGGAUUAUCAUCAGACCUUGAGCUGAUUUCUGUGGGGCAGCGGUGUUUCUCACAGCUGUUUACUAUGUGUUUAUGAAAUGACAGUCUCUCUGGGGAAAAAUCUGAUCAGACUUGUUUUCUUCCAAAACAAGCAACAUUUAGUACAUGUUAUUUGUUGUUCACACAUGAUGAGAGACACAUUUAAAGUCAGAGUGAAAUGUAACCCAUUUUUCCUAUGUGAUGGAUUUUUUGGAGCCUGACCAAAUGCAAGUUUGCUAUUGAGUAAAAUUAACCAAUAGAGUACAAAAGUCAGGUUCUGGAAGUAAAAAUUCCAUUUAUUUUCUUCAGAGGAAACUCAUAUUUAAUGAUAACCAAAAGAACAGACAUACAAGAUGUUGAUAGACAGUAUAUGCUUUUGUUGAAGCCAUCAGUUUGCAUUAUUUCAAAACUACAUUACCCAUGAUCAUGCCUCCUUUGCGAUAUGAUUGGAUAUGACUUAUGUUCAGCUGUGAUUGGUUCAUGUGAUAAAUCCUACCUGUUGUGUUUGUGUGUGGUCCAGAAUCAGUCUUAAUGAACAAUAUAAUGGCGUUAAUGGGAAGACUAAUUUAAAAAAGUAAAGAAACAUCUCACACACUAAGAUAUAACCACUUUGUUUUGUCAAAAUAAGACUUAAAAUGACAAAACGUGAUCUUUGGGAGUUUUUAGUGAGUAAUCAGCUUGGUGAAAUUUGAAACGUUUAAAAACACAAAUUUGAUGAGUUUUCUGUAACAGCCAAGAUGUAAUAAAAUAUUUUCUGGUCCUUGUUAAGUCUUAAAAUUUGGAAAAUAAAGCCUCAGAUGAACAAUAUCACAUAACAUAUCACACCUUGUCAUUAUUUAUUUCACAAAAAUAAAUCCAAGAUGGAAAAGCCAUGUGUGACAAAGAUUGGACACCCUAUGAUUCAACUGCCUGUAGAUCCAGUUUUAGCAGCAAUAACUUGAAGUAGUCAUAUUCUGUAUGACUUCAUCAGUCUCUCACAUUGUUCUGGAAGAAUUUUGGCCCACUCUUCUUUACAACACUGCUCCAGUUUUUGAGGUUUGUGGGCAUUUGUUUAUGCACAGCUCUCACCACAGCAUUUCAGUCAGGAUGAGCUCUGGACUUUGAAUGAGCUAUUCUUUUCUUAUCAGCCGUUCUGUUGUAGAUUUGCUGGUGUACUUGGGAUCAUUGUCCUGUUGCAUGACCCAAUUUUGGCCCAGCUUUAACUGUCCUCACAUUUGACUCUAGAAUAGUUUGAUAAACAGAGAAGUUUAUAUGGUCAACUCAAUGACUCCCAGGUCCUGUAGCUAUAAAACAAGCCCAAAAUAAUCACCGCUCCACAAGCAUUUGUGCCUUAUGGAUUUCAACCAAAUAUGGCACUGUGCAUUAUGGCAAAACAUCUCCACUUUGGUCUAGUCUGUUCAAAGGACAUUGUUCUAGAAGUCUCAUGAUUUGUUCAGAUGCAACUUUGAAAACCUAAACCAUGCUGCCAUAUUUUUAUUUUUAUUUUUUAUUUUUUCAUAGAAGAGGCUUUCUUCUGGCAAGCAUUCCAAACAUGCCAUACUUGUCCCAUAUUUUUCUAACUGUACUGUCAUGAACUUUAUCAUUUAACAUCUUAACUGAGGCCUGUAGAGUCUGUAGUGUAGUCUAGUUUUUAGGUUAUCUGUCAUUUCUCUGAGCAUUACACGGUCGGAUGUGAAUUUGCUGGGACAUCCACUCGAGGAUUGGUGUCUAUUUUGAAUGUCUCCAACUUGAGAAUAAACUUGCUCAAUGUAGAAUGAUGGACUUCAAAUUGUUUAGAAAUAGCUGUAUUACUCUUUCCAGUUUAAUGGCAGCAACGAUUGCUUCUAUAAGAUGACCGACGAAUUGGGAUAUCGCUUCGAUAGACCAAUCUAUUUUGAGUGUAAACUAAACGAGCCAAUGCACAUUGGCAUGCAAUUAUUGCAUCCAGCUGUUGCUGAUCACAGCGUGAGUAUAAUAAGGCAGCAGUUGCAAUGCAUACCAGCUUUUUGCUUCAGAGCCGAGUGUUAAUAUCGUUCUGCUCAAACUGUGUCUAGUUGUGAACUACGAGUUCAGCACACUCUUGGAAGCUUUGUGUGUUGGUGAGACGGCGCUUCAGUGGUGGUCGUUCCCGAGUCGAGUGGGUUGUGCACUUCAGGCUGCAGUACCAGAGGUCGAUCUCAGCAUCGGAAGGAGAGCUGUCCGAUGAAGAUUCGGCCGUGCUGCCACCCUCCGGGAUGGUGGCAAAGCCUGAAUUGGAUCCAGAGAUGACAGCUAUGCUUUCCCGGGUGGCUGAGUGGGUAGGGCUCAAGUCCAACGCGUCCCUAGCCCUCGAGGUGGGAGGAUUGGUUUCUCGAGGUGGCUCGCGCUGGUUAUCAGCGCACCGCCCCGGUGCCUUUCUUCCCAGAAGUGCAUGACAAGCUUACCAGGUCGUGGACGGCCAGAAACUGGCCGGUUGGCUCCUCCUCCCUCACCACCCUCGAUGGCGAAGGGGUAUUCGGCGAUUCCCCCAGAGCAGGCGGUAGCAACGCAGUUGUGUCCUAAGUCUGCUUCCUGCUGGUGGGGAGACCCGGUGCUUCCUUCCCGGGCCGGUAGGCAUUUGUCUGGUCUAACUGGCAAUGCCUAUAUGGCUUGUGGGGAAGCUGCUUCCACCUUACAUGCUGUGGUGUUACUAAAGGUGCACCAGGCCAAGGCACUGAAGGACCUGCAAGAGGGUGGUCACGAUCCGGAAGUUCUGAAAAAACUCUGAACCGCCACUGACCUCGCGCUCCGAGUGACGAAAGCCACUGUGAGUUAUCUAGGUUGUGCGAUGUCCACUCUUGUGAUCCAGGAGUCUGGUUGAAAUGAGGGAUGCUGACAAAGAUCGGUUCCAUAAUGCCCCUGUGUCCCAGACCGGCCUCUUCGGUGACGCGGUCGAGAACCUGGCCCAGCAGUUCUCGGCUGCAUUGGAGCAGACUGAGGCCGUCCAACCUUCUGCCCGGCGGGCAGCUGCUGCCUCCACCCAUCUGCCGGCCACAGCGCCCCAGCCUGCUCGUCGCCGAGGGCCUCACUCAUCCUCCUCCUUCACCAGAUGACAGCAGAGGGCGGUUCGAGAGUUUCAACAAGGGCCCUACUCACGCACCCCACACUCACACCCCUCUCCGGCCUGCUCACAAGCCGCCCAAAUUGGGUCCCUGUGUUCCACGUCGCUGUCCCACUGUGGUUACGGCUGUGGUUCCACUGGUCCUGCUUGUACGGUUUCUAAGCGCCUGUUCAGUGCUACCCAGCCCGUCUUGCUGGCUUCUGCAGACCAUCAGCCUCAACUAUGCGAUUCAGUUCACCCCGCGUCCCCCCAAGUUCAGCGGUAUCCGCUUCACUACAGUGAAAGUGUCCGAUGCCCCUGUUCUGCGGGUAGAGAUUGCAGUCCUACUGGCGAAGGACACGAUAGAACCGGCCCCUCCAGCUAAUAUGAGGUCGGGGUUGUAUAGCCCUUACUUUAUUGUACCCAAGAAAGGCGGUGGGUUACGGCCAGUCUUGGAUCUGCGAGUUUUGAACCAGGCCCUUCAUUGGCUAACGUUCAAGAUGUUGAAGCAGUAAUGCAUCUUUGGGUAUGUCCAUUCCCGAGAUUGGUUUGCAGUGAUCGACCUGAAGGACACAUACUUUCUUGUGUCGAUCCUUCCACGCCACAGACCAUUUCUGCGGUUUGCGUUCGAAGGAUGGGCAUAUCAGUAUUAGGUCCUGUCCUUCGGGCUGUCCCUGUCUCCCCGUGUCUUCACGAAAGUUGCAGAGGUGGCUCUUGCUCCCCUAAGAGAGCAGGGUUUUCGCAUCAUCAACUAUCUAGACGGACGAGGAGCAAGUCUUGAUAGUGGCACCGUAUUGGCCCAUUUGGACCUGGUUCCCUGAACUAGUUCUCCUCGCGACAGCCCCUCCUUGGCCCAUUCCUCUGAGGAGGGAUCUACUGACUCAGAGAUGG